rfam:Metarhizium robertsii ARSEF 23 MAA_Scf_2, whole genome shotgun sequence.
GGUUGAGUAGUGUAGUGGUCAACAUGGUGGCUUCACAACAGUGAAUGCGCUACAGCCCCGGGUUCGAUUCCCGGCUCGACUA